rnacentral:rRNA from 1 species
UACGUAGGCAGCGAGCGUUGUUCGGAGUUACUGGGCGUAAAGGGUGUGUAGGCGGUUGUUUAAGUUUGGUGUGAAAUCUCCCGGCUCAACUGGGAGGGUGCGCCGAAUACUGAAUGACUUCGAGUGCGGGAGAGGAAAGUGGAAUUCCUGGUGUAGCGGUGAAAUGCGUAGAUAUCAGGAGGAACACCGGUGGUGUAGACGGCUUUCUGGACCGUAACUGACGCUGAGACACGAAAGCGUGGGGAGCAAACAGG